GACAGAGGGGGCAAGCGUUGCUCGGAAUCACUGGGCGUAAAGGGCUCGUAGGCGGCCAACUAAGUCAGACGUGAAAUCCCUCGGCUUAACCGGGGAACUGCGUCUGAUACUGGAUGGCUUGAGAUUGGGAGAGGGAUGCGGAAUUCCAGGUGUAGCGGUGAAAUGCGUAGAUAUCUGGAGGAACACCGGUGGCGAAGGCGGCAUCCUGGACCAACACUGACGCUGAGGAGCGAAAGCCAGGGGAGCAAACGGG
rnacentral:rRNA from 1 species